rnacentral:rRNA from 1 species
CAUGCAGUCGAGCGGGGGAAGUUGCUUCGGUAACUGACCUAGCGGCGGACGGGUGAGUAAUACUUAGGAAUCUGCCUAUUAAUGGGGGACAACAUCUCGAAAGGGAUGCUAAUACCGCAUACGCCCUACGGGGGAAAGCAGGGGAUCACUUGUGACCUUGCGUUAAUAGAUGAGCCUAAGUCGGAUUAGCUAGUUGGUGGGGUAAAGGCCUACCAAGGCGACGAUCUGUAGCGGGUCUGAGAGGAUGAUCCGCCACACUGGGACUGAGACACGGCCCAGACUCCUACGGGAGGCAGCAGUGGGGAAUAUUGGACAAUGGGGGGAACCCUGAUCCAGCCAUGCCGCGUGUGUGAAGAAGGCCUUAUGGUUGUAAAGCACUUUAAGCGAGGAGGAGGCUCUUUUGGUUAAUACCCAAGAUGAGUGGACGUUACUCGCAGAAUAAGCACCGGCUAACUCUGUGCCAGCAGCCGCGGUAAUACAGAGGGUGCGAGCGUUAAUCGGAUUUACUGGGCGUAAAGCGUGCGUAGGCGGCUUUUUAAGUCGGAUGUGAAAUCCCCGAGCUUAACUUGGGAAUUGCAUUCGAUACUGGGAAGCUAGAGUAUGGGAGAGGAUGGUAGAAUUCCAGGUGUAGCGGUGAAAUGCGUAGAGAUCUGGAGGAAUACCGAUGGCGAAGGCAGCCAUCUGGCCUAAUACUGACGCUGAGGUACGAAAAGCAUGGGGAGCAAACAGGAUUAGAUACCCUGGGUUAGUCCA